GAAAGGUUCAAUUUGUUUGUGAAGCAUCACAGCACAGUUGAAAAAUAUAUGGCAAGUAGAAAUCCAAAAUUGAUGAAGUUGAGAGAUAGAUGGGAGAGGUUGAAUGGAGCUGCAGGGUGGGACUAAUAACAAGAUAACCAAUGUAAAACAUAUGGGGUCUGUAAAAUAUACAGGUUCAGAACCUUUGUGAAAUAGCACAGUUACAAAUAGAAAUCAAACUGGAUGGACAUCAGUAAUAGAGAAAGGACUAAAAACAAACACAAUCUAUUUUACAAUAGUUAUUUUUUGUCUGUAAAAUGAGUAUAAGAUAUUUAAACUGAAGGUAGAAGCCUAAGUAUUUAUUGGUUUACUGCAAUUGGGGAACGGUGGCAGGGUUUGCGGGGAAUAAUAAUAAAGGUAUAUUCUUAAAAAAAAAAGUAUGUAUGUCUAUAUAGGUAUGUAUAUGUUUAUUUUAUUUAUUUAUUUUACCUUUAUUUAACCAGGUAGGCAAGUUGAGAACAAGUUCUCAUUUACAAUUGCGACCUGGCCAAGAUAAAGCAAAGCAGUUCGACAGAUACAACGACACAAAUCAAAUCAAAUAGAUUUACACAUGGAGUAAAACAAACGUACAGUCAAUAAUACAGUAUAAACAAGUCUAUAUACAAUGUGAGCAAAUGAGGUGAGAAGGGAGGUAAAGGCAAAAAAGGCCAUGGUGGCAAAGUAAUAUGUAUGUCUAUAUAGGUAUGCUUAUGUAUAUAUGUGUAUAUGUGUAUAUGUAAACUUAUAUAGGUAUGUGUAUGUAUAUAUGUGUUUAUGUAUGUCUAUAUAGGUAUGUGUAUGUAUAUAUAUGUUUAUGUAUGUCUAUAUAGGUAUGUUUAUGUAUGUCUAUAUAGGUAUGUGUAUGUAUAUAUGUGAAUAUGUAUAUCUAUAUAGGUAUGUGUAUGUAUAUAUAUGUUUAUGUAUGUCUAUAUAGGUAUGUGUAUGUAUAUAUGUGAAUAUGUAUAUCUAUAUAGGUAUGUGUAUGUAUAUAUGUGUAUAUGUAUAUCUAUAUAGGUAUGCGUAUGUAUAUACAGUGCCUUGCAAAAGUAUUCGGCCCCCUUGAACUUUGCGACCUUUUGCCACAUUUCAGGCUUCAAACAUAAAGAUAUAAAAUUGUAUUUUUUUGUGAAGAAUCAACAACAAGUGGGACACAAUCAUGAAGUGGAACGACAUUUAUUGGAUAUUUCAAACUUUUUUAACAAAUCAAAAACUGAAAAAUUGGGCGUGCAAAAUUAUUCAGCCCCCUUAAGUUAAUACUUUGUAGCACCACCUUUUGCUGCGAUUACAGCUGUAAGUCACUUGGGGUAUGUCUCUAUCAGUUUUGCACAUCGAGAGACUGAAGUUUUUUCCCAUUCCUCCUUGCAAAACAGCUUGAGCUCAGUGAGGUUGGAUGGAGAGCAUUUGUGAACAGCAGUUUUCAGUUCUUUCCACAGAUUUUUGAUUGGAUUCAGGUCUGGACUUUGACUUGGCCAUUCUAACACCUGGAUAUGUUUAUUUUUGAACCAUUCCAUUGUAGAUUUUGCUUUGUGUUUUGGAUCAUUGUCUUGUUGGAAGACAAAUCUCCGUCCCAGUCUCAGGUCUUUUGCAGACUCCAUCAGGUUUUCUUCCAGAAUGGUCCUGUAUUUGGCUCCAUCCAUCUUCCCAUCAAUUUUAACCAUCUUCCCUGUCCCUGCUGAAGAAAAGCAGGCCCAAACCAUGAUGCUGCCACCACCAUGUUUGACAGUGGGGAUGGUGUGUUCAGGGUGAUGAGCUGUGUUGCUUUUACGCCAAACAUAACAUUUUGCAUUGUUGCCAAAAAGUUCAAUUUUGGUUUCAUCUGACCAGAGCACCUUCUUCCACAUGUUUGGUGUGUCUCCCAGGUGGCUUGUGGCAAACUUUAAACAACACUUUUUAUGGAUAUCUUUAAGAAAUGGCUUUCUUCUUGCCACUCUUCCAUAAAGGCCAGAUUUGUGCAAUAUACGACUGAUUGUUGUCCUAUGGACAGAGUCUCCCACCUCAGCUGUAGAUCUCUGCAGUUCAUCCAGAGUGAUCAUGGGCCUCUUGGCUGCAUCUCUGAUCGGUCUUCUCCUUGUAUGAGCUGAAAGUUUAGAGGGACGGCCAGGUCUUGGUAGAUUUGCAGUGGUCUGACACUCCUUCCAUUUCAAUAUUAUCGCUUGCACAGUGCUCCUUGGGAUGUUUAAAGCUUGGGAAAUCUUUUUUUAUCCAAAUCCGGCUUUAAACUUCUUCACAACAGUAUCUCGGACCUGCCUGGUGUGUUCCUUGUUCUUCAUGAUGCUCUCUGCGCUUUUAACGGACCUCUGAGACUAUCACAGUGCAGGUGCAUUUAUACGGAG
ensembl:lncRNA